rnacentral:rRNA from 1 species
GAUGAACGCUGGCGGCGUGCCUAAUACAUGCAAGUCGAGCGAACGGACGAGAAGCUUGCUUCUCUGAUGUUAGCGGCGGACGGGUGAGUAACACGUGGAUAACCUACCUAUAAGACUGGGAUAACUUCGGGAAACCGUAGCUAAUACCGGAUAAUAUUUUGAACCGCAUGGUUCAAAAGUGAAAGACGGUCUUGCUGUCACUUAUAGAUGGAUCCGCGCUGCAUUAGCUAGUUGGUAAGGUAACGGCUUACCAAGGCAACGAUGCAUAGCCGACCUGAGAGGGUGAUCGGCCACACUGGAACUGAGACACGGUCCAGACUCCGACGGGAGGCAGCAGUAGGGAAUCUUCCGCGAUGGGCGAAAGCCUGACGGAGCAACGCCGCGUGAGUGAUGAAGGUCUUCGGAUCGUAAAACUCUGUUAUUAGGGAAGAACAUAUGUGUAAGUAACUGUGCACAUCUUGACGGUACCUAAUCAGAAAGCCACGGCUAACUACGUG